rnacentral:rRNA from 1 species
AGUGAACGCUGGCGGCGUGCCUAAUACAUGCAAGUCGAACGGAGAUUAAAUAGCUUGCUAUUUAAUCUUAGUGGCGCACGGGUGAGUAAUAUAUAGUUAAUCUGCCCCAUAGUGGAGGACAACAGUUAGAAAUGACUGCUAAUACUCCAUACUCCUUCUUAUCAUAAGUUAAGUCGGGAAAGUUUUUCGCUAUGGGAUGAGGCUAUAUCGUAUCAGCUAGUUGGUGAGGUAAUGGCUCACCAAGGCUAUGACGCGUAACUGGCCUGAGAGGAUGAUCAGUCACAUUGGAACUGAGACACGGUCCAAACUCCUACGGGAGGCAGCAGUAGGGAAUAUUGCGCAAUGGGGGAAACCCUGACGCAGCAACGCCGCGUGGAGGAUGACACUUUUCGGAGCGUAAACUCCUUUUGUUAGGGAAGAAUAAUGACGGUACCUAACGAAUAAGCACCGGCUAACUCCGUGCCAGCAGCCGCGGUAAUACGGAGGGUGCAAGCGUUACUCGGAAUCACUGGGCGUAAAGGACGCGUAGGCGGAUUAUCAAGUCUCUUGUGAAAUCUAGUGGCUUAACCACUAAACUGCUUGGGAAACUGAUAAUCUAGAGUAAGGGAGAGGCAGAUGGAAUUCUUGGUGUAGGGGUAAAAUCCGUAGAGAUCAAGAAGAAUACUUAUUGCGAAGGCGAUCUGCUAGAACUUAACUGACGCUAAUGCGUGAAAGCGUGGGGAGCAAACAGG